rnacentral:misc_RNA from 1 species
AAGUCGUAACAAGGUCUCCGUUGGUGAACCAGCGGAGGGAUCAUUACAGAGUUUAUCUUAACUCCCAAACCCCAUGUGAACAUACCUUACGUUGCCUCGGCAGGUCGCGUCGUACCUGGAAGGCCCUACCCUGUAGGCCCUACCCGGUGCGCGCGGGUAACCCUGCCGGUGGCCCAUGAAACUCUGUCUUACUAUUAUUAUUCUGAAUUCAUAACUAAAUAAGUUAAAA